GAGUAAUUAUUAUUAAAAGUAUUUUUAUCUGCAAAAUAAAAGGUUUGUUGCUUA
rnacentral:tRNA from 1 species